AUUGAACGCUGGCGGCAGGCCUAACACAUGCAAGUCGAACGGUAACAGGAAGCAGCUUGCUGCUUCGCUGACGAGUGGCGGACGGGUGAGUAAUGUCUGGGAAACUGCCUGAUGGAGGGGGAUAACUACUGGAAACGGUAGCUAAUACCGCAUAACGUCGCAAGACCAAAGAGGGGGACCUUCGGGCCUCUUGCCAUCGGAUGUGCCCAGAUGGGAUUAGCUAGUAGGUGGGGUAACGGCUCACCUAGGCGACGAUCCCUAGCUGGUCUGAGAGGAUGACCAGCCACACUGGAACUGAGACACGGUCCAGACUCCUACGGGAGGCAGCAGUGGGGAAUAUUGCACAAUGGGCGCAAGCCUGAUGCAGCCAUGCCGCGUGUAUGAAGAAGGCCUUCGGGUUGUAAAGUACUUUCAGCGGGGAGGAAGGGAGUAAAGUUAAUACCUUUGCUCAUUGACGUUACCCGCAGAAGAAGCACCGGCUAACUCCGUGCCAGCAGCCGCGGUAAUACGGAGGGUGCAAGCGUUAAUCGGAAUUACUGGGCGUAAAGCGCACGCAGGCGGUUUGUUAAGUCAGAUGUGAAAUCCCCGGGCUCAACCUGGGAACUGCAUCUGAUACUGGCAAGCUUGAGUCUCGUAGAGGGGGGUAGAAUUCCAGGUGUAGCGGUGAAAUGCGUAGAGAUCUGGAGGAAUACCGGUGGCGAAGGCGGCCCCCUGGACGAAGACUGACGCUCAGGUGCGAAAGCGUGG
rnacentral:rRNA from 1 species